ACUUGAAUGUGAGGGAAAAGAUACUAAUCCUAAUUGACACAUGGCAAGAAGCCUUCGGGGGACCUUAGGGGAGAUGUCCUCAAUACUAUGCAGCAUAUAAUGAACUGAAGGCUGCUGGAGUUGAAUUCCCACCUCGAGAAGAGAGCAGUGUACCAUUCUUUACUCCACCCCAGACCCAGCCAAUAAUUUCUCCUGUUACUGAAUACAAUGAUGCUGCUAUUGAGGCCUCUUUACAGUCUGAUGCUUCAGGCCUCAGGUACUGUCUCGAUGACAACUGACUUUUGUUUGUCAUAAACAUUUAUUCAAAUUCUUGGUACUUA